UUAUCCUUUUUCCGUCUGCAACAUCCCUGGCGUGUGUUAAACCAACAUCUAUGCCAGUUAAACUAUCACUCCUGCUGAGGUCAGAAAAAACAGCUAAGUGUAUGCGUGCGUGGGCGUAUGUGUGCGCGUAUCAGUGGACGUCGAACCGCUUCAUUCUGCUGCUACAGCGUCUGCUCUAAUAACUGGGGAGAUGCAGCAUUUAUGGACAGAUGGCCAAACAACAACUGCUGCUAAUUGACGGCUAAUUGCAAACUCUGGGCAGGUGUACAUGCUCUCCAACAAAUAAAACCUGAGUGAUUUCUCUCUUUCUUUUGCUAAUUUACAGCUACAACAUCCAGUUGGUUCUUUCCUUUUCUGUCGCUGCUCGUGGUUUCUUUCUCAUCUCUCAUUGCUAAAGAGAAGAGAGAAGGAUUUUUAUGAGACCCCCUGCCGCCUCGCCCAUUACACCUUUAACCUGUGUCAAGCAUUGAGCGGCAUCCCAAGAUUUUGUAUACAUUAUUUAAAAGCUCUUGUUAUAAUGCUUACAGGGACAGAAAAAAUGCAGUGCUGAGGUCUGUUUUGAAUAGUGUGGUACCUCGAAGAGGGAGGAAGGGCAUGUUAAGGGGGGGUACAAGUGAAAAAGUGUUUUCCUGCUUACAAAAACAGUCAAGAAGGAAAAAGAGUGUGGAGACUUUUAGCGAGCAAGGUCGCUGCGGAGUAUGAAAGAGAAGCAUCACGAUGAGCUGCAUUACUGUUAGCUGUGUAACCAGUUGAUCGGGCUUUUACUAGUAAUAUCCGUCAAAUGACAGUCAUUUCUUCAAAAGACAAAAAAAAAAAUAAAGAGGGAGAGAGACAUUCUGAAACCCUGCUCAGGUAACACCUACAGAGAGGCAUUUUGAAUAUCAAGCGAAUGUUAAAAGGCUUUCGGCAUCAUUAGAAUUCUGGGUGCAGGCUUUCCAAUUAGAAAAAAUCCUGCACUGUCGAGCUCUACUGUUGCUGGUGCGCCUCAUGCAGGUUUGCUCUGCAUGUGUGGGUACGUGUGCGUGCGCUUGACUCUUUGUAUAUUUAAUGUCGCUGAGUGUCACUUUAUUUUUUUCUGUCUUUUUACAGCUGCACAUCCAUCCAUCAUACUUGCUGCAGGGCUAAAAAAAAAAAAGCGCUUGUCUGUGCAUAUUGCGCAGCGGUGAAAUCCAUCCAUAAUAAUAUCUGUUUUGAAGACCCUGGCUUUGAUAGUCUUUCACCAAAGAUGAGUCUACGAAGAAUUAUUUGCAGAGCUGCAUACAGCUUCUAUGGAUGUGUACGCUAACUUUCUGUGAAGGGGGGCAAAGAAGAUGUAAAGUUUUGCAUCAAAGGGUCUCAAAAGAGACUCUCCCUCUUCCUCUGACCAUAAAAAAAAAAGUAGUUUAGUAACUCUCAGAUGAGCUUCUUCAGAGGAGUCCGGAGAGUUUUCAGAGAGUGAGAGCUGGAGCAGGUGGAGUAGGAGAGAGCGAGAGAGAGAAAAGAGCCAGAGGUGGAGAACAAGUACGAGAGUGGGUUAGAUGUAGAGGGAGAAAAGCGAGAGACUGGUGGCUUGGAACAAAAUCUGGCUCCCCUUCAUCAGGAGUAGCUGCCUCAGUGAAGAUGACUUUUUGGGGUUAGUGCAGAAGGGAACCCUCCCUCCUCUUGCACACACACACACGGACACACACACCUGAAAAGACACAAGCAUACAUUUCCUUUACAGGACUAAAGGCUUAGGGGAACCAUCUUAAAGGCACAGGAUUAAAGAUAUACACACAUGAAGUUCACACAUGCCAUAAACUAAUUAAAACAACAAAGUUUUUAACCUGAGCCUCGCAGCGUUGAUGCGGCUUCUUCACAGUAAAACUGUCAGCCACCAACGCUAACACUGUUUGAUCAUGAAAGUUUUAUGACAUCUUUGCCUUCACUCUGACUUACAAAUCUUGUGAGUGUCAAUUAGCAGCAAGCAGAUCAGGAAACCCUGCCAACAGAAAACAAACCUUUGUCU